rnacentral:piRNA from 1 species
UACAAUGUGGAAAGCAUUGACGGUCAGCCU